rnacentral:lncRNA from 14 species
CCCCCCAAACCCCUCAGACCCUUCCUGACCCCCCAUUUCCCCUCAGACCCCUCCCCAUUUCCCCUCAGACCCCCCCAAACCCCCCCGGCCCCUCCCCCAUUCCCCCCUCACCUCCCCUCGCCCCAUCCCGGGGCCCCUCACGGCAGCGCCGGAAGUGACGUCAGGCGCGGGCCGGAGGGGGCGGGGCCGGGCCGAGGAGGGCGCCCCCCUGCGGACGGAGCGUGAGGGCGGCGCUGGACGCCUCGUGCCGGGAUGGGGCUGAGCGGAGCCUACAAGCAGGGUGUGUUUCCACCCCAUCCCCCCCCCAAAUUUGGGGUCUCCACCCCCCAAAUUUGGGGUCCUUCCCCCCCAGCUGGACGCUCUGGAGCCCCCUGAGACGCCGCCCCCCAAGCGCCCCCGCGGCGCCGCGCUCUUCGUGCUCCUCUCCAUCCUCUUCCUCCUCACCUUCCUCCUCCUCCUGCACCUGCGCGGCCGCGGCGCCGACGGCACCUGCGGGGACACCUGCAGGAUCGUGCUGGUGGAGAGCAUCCCCGAGGGCCUGGCCCUGGGCCCCCGGCUCAGCCCCUCCACCUUCGAGGCGUGGCUGGGGCUGCUGGCCGGGGCCGCGCGCAGCGUGGACAUCGCCUCCUUCUACUGGACCCUGAGCAACAACGACACCCGCACGCACGAGCCCAGCGCCGAGCAGGUGAGCACCGCUUUCUGCCUUUUUUUCCUGCUUUUUUGCACGGUUUUG